GGCUGGAGAGAACGCUUCAUCAGUUUUGACACCUAUAGGAGUGGAAUGGUGGUUCCACAAGAAUUGCAGAAGGCGCUGACGACAAUGGGAUUUAGGUUGAGUCCCAAGACCGCGAAUUCAAUUGGAAAAUGAUACACCACCAAUGGAAAGAUCACCAUCGAUGAAUACAUCACCUGCUGUGUCAAACUUAGGGCUCUGACAGAUAGCUUUCGAAGAUGGCAUACUGCUCAGCAAGGCAUUGUGAAUUUCCCAUGUGAUGAUUUCAUUCAAUGGGUCAUGAGUGUUUAA
rnacentral:lncRNA from 1 species